AAUUUAAUCAUAUGAAGUAGAAUCAUAUAAAUUCAUGGUUACACGAAUUAAAAAUUAUGGUUGUAAAUAUAAUAGCUAAAAAUUUGUUCGAGAUUCUUGAUUGUCAUUGAUGGUUGGAAACAAUUUAAUCUGGACAAAAUGUGGUAGUGUUUAUACUAAUAAUGGUCGUUUUACAUCCAUUCUGUGAGUACGGUUACUCCAUUAUGGAGGGAUUUCAGGCACUCAUACGAAGCAAAGCUCCGGAUGUACCGUGGAUCCACUGCAUAAUUCAUAGAGUUCAGGUCUUGCAUCAAUGUAUCUGAGCUCUUCGGCGAAUCUGGACCUGGUACAAGUAGUGAAUUUUUAAGAUACAAAAUUUAUAGAAACUCGGUUACCGAAGACAGGACUUUUCGAAGUACUAUUCGAGAAGAUAUGUGUGGAACGAACACAAUACUUCCAUCAUGUCUUAUUGAAAGUGAGAAAAAUUCAAUUUUCUAUAGUAAAAGCUGGCAAUAGCAUAUGUAAUGGAGCGAAAAUAUGAAGAAAAGGAGAAAAAUAUCAUUUGCAAAAAGAAAAAAGGAAAAGAAAUAUUUUAAUACAAU